UACGGAGGAUCCAAGCGUUAUCCGGAAUCAUUGGGUUUAAAGGGUCCGUAGGCGGCCCGGUAAGUCAGUGGUGAAAUCUCCCCGCUCAACGGGGAAACUGCCAUUGAUACUGCCGGGCUUGAAUUAUUGUGAAGUAACUAGAAUAUGUAGUGUAGCGGUGAAAUGCUUAGAGAUUACAUGGAAUACCGAUUGCGAAGGCAGGUUACUAACAAUUGAUUGACGCUGAUGGACGAAAGCGUGGGGAGCGAACAGG
rnacentral:rRNA from 1 species